rnacentral:rRNA from 1 species
UACAGAGGGUGCAAGCGUUGUUCGGAAUUACUGGGCGUAAAGCGCGUGUAGGCGGUUUGGUAGGUCGGAUGUGAAAUCCUGGGGCUCAACCUCAGAACUGCACCCGAUACCGCCAAGCUUGAAUACGGGAAAGGGAAGUGGAAUUCCGGGUGUAGAGGUGAAAUUCGUAGAUAUCCGGAGGAACACCGGUGGCGAAAGCGGCUUCCUGGCCCGAUAUUGACGCUGAGACGCGAAAGCGUGGGGAGCAAACAGG